GAGCCUGAUGUGGGGCUUGAACCCACUAACCGUGAGAUCAUGACCUGAGCUGAAGUCAGAUGCUAAACCCACUGAGCCACCCAGGCACCUCAAUGCUCACUGAUAAUUUUAACUUGAAAGGCUAAAACCAUACACAUAUCCUCAGAAAGGCAAGCUUGUUGCUUUCUGUUGGAAUCAUCAUUUCAUAGAUUAGUGGUAGAGUAUAAAGUACAAAAUGUUUAGAACCCUGAUUUUCUAUCACUCUCCACUCAUGUGCUCUUGGGCAGAGUUGUGCUGGUCAGAAACAAUGCAACUGCUUUGCAGAGCCCUCCUAAUAAAAACUGAAAUAAGCACAUGGUUUGCGACAUUAGAGAACUUAUUUUUCUAGUGCUUUCAUCUUUCUAUACAUGGUCUCCCUAUGUUGUAAAGAAGAAAACAUAAAAGCUUCCUAUAAAAAGAAACAAAAUAGCUUCUUGAGGGGUAAACCUUGUUGGAAUGUUGUUGAAUUUAUUUAAUAGAGAAUGUACACUUAUCUUCACAGCGUUUCGUUACUGUCAAAAAAUGAGGGAAGUGGGGGCGCCUGGGUGGUUCAGUCAGUUGGGCUUCCGACUUCGGCUCAGGUCACGAUCUUAUGGUUCAUGAGUUUGAGCUCGAAGUUGGGCUGACUGCUGUCACCCUGUCAGAACAGAGCUCACUUCAGAUCUUCUUUCCCCCUCUCUCUGCCUGUCCCUGGCUUGUGCUCUCACCAAAAUAAAUAAAUACUAAAAAAAUAUAUAUAUAAGGUAAGAGCUAGCUGUUGUUUUUUGAGCAUCUGUUAUGUGAUGUGCACUGCAUUAUGCAUCUGUGUAUAUUUCAUUGAAUCUUUAGAUUUAAUUUUAUCUGGCAGGAGUUUGUUCAAUUCUCUAUUAUAAAUGAGGAAAACAAAACACUCAAGAGAGUAAGCAGCUUUUGUCUGUUGGCAUCCCCCCAACCCAGUAGAAAUAUCUGCUCGCCUCUGUCCUUUUCAGUGCCUUAGGGGCUGAACACUAUUGUCUGGUCCAUCGAGGGCUUCCUUGCUGGCUUGUUUCUAAUUGGGUUUGGGCAAAAAGUGGACCCUGCAAGAGAUCGGAAGGCCAGAAAGGAAAAAGACUAGCGUAUUCAUUUCCUGCUGUUGCAUGGUGGCAUUUGUUCACGAGUGAUUGUAGCUCCUGCCAGGCAGCAAACACUUCUGGGAGGGCUCCAGCUCUCAUCAGGUUCUGGUUCUCUAUUUUUCUCCCUUGCCUUAAGCACUAGAGAUAGUAAAGACAUCUUGCCCUCCUGAGUCCUGAAGGCCUCAUAUUCCUUGUUGGUUCCCUUAACCCUGCCCGUACCUUCCUUGACUAAAUUGCUUUCAGAAGCCCAUCUGAAUUGCUUUUUAUUUCCCUUGACCCUAUACACUGUUAGGCAAUUAAGUUGCACAGUUAGUACAUGGUAAACCUGGGAAACCUGGGAUUCUACAGAUUCAGACUUUGGUCUGCCUGAUUGAAAAACUUACGCUUUCCCAUGAAAAUUAAGCUAUUGUUAGUAACUAACAUUAAAUUGUACCUAAGUUAUGAAACGUUAAUAAUGACUUCAAAAUAAAUAACUCGUGGAGGUGAAAAGUAUGGCAUAAGUAGUGUAGUCAGGAAUGUUGAAAUAGCAUUGUAUGGUGACAGAUUGUGACUACAUUUAUUGUGGUGAGCACUGAAUACUGUGUAGCAUUAUCAAUUGUUGUAUUGUACACCUGAAACUAGUAUAGUAUUGCACAUCAACAACAACAAAAAGAGUUAAUGAAUUACCCGCAAUGACUAACAUAAACUCGAGAAGUAAUCGUUAAUACUGGUCAAUUCUUUAGAAGAAAUGUGCCCGCUACAAGUGCAGAAGCAGAAAACCUGCAUAUGCAGAAGUAAUGAACUAUUCUGGGAAGUUCUUCUGGUGUGUUCGCAUUACCAAAUUUUUCCCAGUUAGAAACCUUUGUGAUUAUUAUGUGUAUUCUGAUUAUUAUGGUUUUCCUUUAAACAAUAUGGGGGGGGGUCGCCUGGGUGGCUCAGUUGGUUAAGUGUCUGAGUCUUGAUUUUCACUCAGGUGAUGAUAUUGUGGUUGUGAAAUCAAGCCCCACGUCAGGCUUUCUGCUAAGCAUGGAGUCUGCUUAAGAUUUUCUGUCUCAACUCAUGCACUCUCUCUCUCUCCCCCACUUCUCUAAAAUAAAAGAUAAAAAACCACCAAUAUUGGACCUGCAAUCACUACAAUGUAAUUGAAAAGGUUUGGCCAUUUAGGACUUGACGUAUUUGAUGAUUAUGUCCUAUGAUGAUCGCAAUAGCUCUUUUCACUGUGGAUGUAAUUUAAGAUAAUUGACCUUGGCUCCCAUGAUUUGCUUUCAGCUUGGGGACAGAACUCCCACCAUGGUCAAUUAUCUCACAGUAAUUCCAACAAUAAAAGUCACUAUUGCAUAAUAAUUUCCUAAUCACCUUCUUGCACUGGAGAGUAUAACAUGGCAUAUACUAAUAGGACUGCUUCUAGUGAAAUUGCUGCCCCACCACAGGCACAGAAUUGAGGAUUGAAAAUUGUUACACAUUAUAUUAUUCUACAUGUGACUGGUAAUGUUGGGAUAAGAACCCAGGUUCUUGUAAUAUUGAGAAUCAUACUGAUAUCCAUAGCUAGAGAUUGCAGCUGGUGAUAUUCCCAGCAUCAUCUUUUGGCAUGGAUGGAGCCCAAUGACUUGGCUUCAUCUUGACUCCUACAGCUACAGAGCUGUUCCAGAGAGUUGAGCAGUUGCCAUCUAGUGGGCAAAAACCAUAAUGGCAUAAAGAAAGCAGAACAGUUUGGUUAUCGAGAUGGAAGCAGUAAUGUACAUCACUGGAAGAGGGAACGUAUUAAAUCCCCCACAAUUUUUGCAACACUGAUGUCAUUUGGAAAUAAAUUCAGACAUCAUAUCUACAGAGAAAUGUAUCAAAAUUUGAAAUAUUUUGAGGUAAAAUGUAAAAGAUAAUUAAAACCCUAAGGAGAUGACACUAAAUACCUAUUAGAAUGACUUAAAAAUCACAAGUGACAAUAUUAAAUACUGAUUAAGAUGUGAAGUAAUCAGAAUGCAUCACACUGCUGAUGGGAAUGCAAAAUGGUAUAGCAUUUUGGAAAGUGGAAAACUUUCCAAACAGUUUGGAAAGUUUCUUAUCAAGUUAAGUGAAAAUUUACCAUAUAACUCAGCAAUUUCAUUCUUGGGCAUUUCUCUAAAAGAAAUGAAAAAUGUAUCUUCACACAUCUGAACACAAAUAUUUUUCAUAGCUUUAUAAAUAAUCAUCAAAAACUGGAAACAGCCCAAAUGUCCAUCAGCUAAAUAAUGGAUAAACAGUCUCCAUACUAUGGAAUACUUUUCUGCAAUAUAAAUGAACAAACUAGUGAUACAUGUGACAACAUGGAUGUUUCAAAUGUAUUUUGCUAUAUGAAAGAAGUCAGAUUCGAAUACUACAUCUUACAUGAUUCUAUAACAUUAUAGAAAAGGAAAAAUCUUAGGGAUAGAAAUCAUAUCAGGGGUUGCCAGGGACUAGAGGUUGGGACAGGGUAUGGAUCACAAAGAAAUAGGAGAGAACUUUUAAAAUGAGAACAGUGUUCUCUAUCUCAAUUUUAUGACAGUGGUUAUGUGAAUUUAAAGGUUUAACAAAAGUCAUAGAACUAUAUACCUAAAUAGGUAUACGUCAAUUGAAAAAAGAGGAAUCAAAUAUUUUAGGACAGUAGUUUAAACCAGGCCAAUUUAGCCAUCAAUCACUGAAAAACAUGGGAGGGGUUAACAGUAUCAUUAGUCAGCAGUAAGAAAUUCAGACAAACAGAAGGGAAAGAGCUCUUCACACAUCCAUUUCUUUUAAUUCUGAAGUGACACUGUUCACAUAACCAAGCGUACAUAUUUGUGAAAAAGUAAACUUUAAUACUGAUUUCACACUUCAUGGACAAUGUGACGUUAAAAUGUUUCAUGAUGGAAUUAACAAUGUUUUAAAAACAACAAAAGAAAUAUACAAAUACACAGCAAAUAAAUAUAAACUAUGGCCCAAUGUAAAAGGUCAAAUUUUAUCUAUGUAUCAGAGAGAGUGAGAGUGAGGGCCAGAGAGAAAGAAUCCCACAAAGGGGGGGGGGGCGGAGUGAGAGAGAGAGAGAGAGAGAGAGAGAAAGAAAGAGAGAGAAAGAGAAAGAGAAAGAGAAAGAAGUAGGGCUCACCUGGGUCUUAUGUUCACCCCCAGUGGAGCUUGAGCUCACCUGAUGUGGGACUCAAACUCAUGAACUGUGAGAUCAUGACCUGAGCCAGUCAGAUGCUUAAUAACUGAGCCAUACAGGCAUCCCCCAGGUCAAAUUGUAAAUAGCCACAAAUGAGCAAUAGUGACAUCUUGAGGUAGGGUGGAAAGCCUAUGUGUGUAUUUUGUGCAUAAUUUCAUUUAUAUUUAUAGAUAUAUAGUGAAAGGUAUUAGACUGAUAUACAUGCACAUAUUUACAUCAAAGUAAAGGAGAGUUAAUUUGUCCAUGAUAAUAUUGCCGAGAAGUGGCAGGACUUGAAACUCCUUCUCACUGUGACUCUUCCAUCUCUCCAGCUUCCUUACCUUGAUGUGGGCACGGGUCUGCCCUGCGCUGAGUUGUUCCUAAUAAUAUAGUAGUAGAUUGCCUGUUACGGAAGAUCCAGGGUUUCAGGGAAAGGCCAAAAGGAAAAGAAUGUACAGUCAUAAAUAUCUACCAUAGGUCAGCUGGGGAAAAGUCUUUCCUCAAGCCUCAGAGGCCCAUCAUGUAGGAAUAUAAACUACCUGCUCUGGGGACCAGGGUACAACUAUUGCGAAAACACUAUUGUUAGCUUCUCCAAACAUCCCUUUUCAGGUCCAGGUUUUUUGGAUAGGCAACCUCUAGAAAGCAUUUCAUUCAGCUCAAGUUUCCCAGUGGAAUCAAUCAUCCAAUCAAAUACCUUAAUAAAAGAAAAUGUUGGCAGAAAGCAUGUUCUCAUAAAUCUGGAUGUCAGUUUUAAAAUGGAAAGUGAGAAAUUUAUCACCUCUACCUCAGGCCCUUUAUGAGUCCCCAUGUUUAGAUCACAUUUUAAGCAUUUGCUACAUGUUAACCUUUCUUUCAUUUGAAUCCAUUCCACAAUACUGUAUGCCUUAUGUAGCUCUGAUGUACAGAUGAGCAAACUGGAGGUUUAAAUAUGUUAAGUAUAAUGCUCCAAGCCAUACAUCUAGUAAGUCAUGGUAUAACUCUCUCUGGGUCUGUCUGAUUCCUAAGCCUUUGCCCCUACCUAGCAUGAUUUUUUAAAAGCUAAUAACUUCAUUUUCCUUUAAAGAAUACACUUGGCUGACCACCAUAAUUCCAGUAUUGCAACAUGAGAUACUACCAGGCAUUGUGCUAAAUAUGUUACAAUAUUAUCAUAUUUAAAACUCAACACAUGAUCUUAAAGGGAAGUCUUAACACUCUGUUUUAAAGAUGAGGGAACUGUGACUGAAAAUGGUUUAAUGGCAUUCCCAGUGUUACCUGCUCAACAGGAAAUGGUGGAGCUGAGAUUCAAACCCAGGUCUAUGGGAUUCCAAAGCCCAUGUUUUUAUACAUGACCUUUGUAAUUCAGUGAAUCUCGUUUUGAAUCUCAGUGGUCCCCAAAAGUAAACCACCACUACUUUUUAUUCUACUUUGUUCUAUCAUUAUUUAUUAAGACAUCUUACAUCUCACACUAGAGAGAUCUUGAGGAAAUGGACAAUUUCUGUUUAACCUUCUAUUCCCUUUUUCCUUUCCUGUUAAUUACCCUAAACAACCAAGUGCCUAAUUUGAAGCAAUUCAGUAAAGUGAUUGGUUGAUUGAAUAGAAUGAAAGCAUUAAAGUAAUGAAUGAUUUGAAACUGGAUCAAAGAUAGGUCUGAUCUAGUAUGUUAGUUAACUCAUCCAUUAAUCUAUUCAUUUAGCAAUUAUUUACUGAUAACCUGCUAUGUUCUCCACCCUGUGCCAGGUGCUCAGAUAAUUUUCAGCUGGAACCCAGCAGUGUGGUAACCCAGGAAGCAUUCAUUCCAAUUGAUUAAUGCUUGUGCCAGAUCAAUUGUUAGCUAUCUUGAAUGUUACCCCUGGUUGACUUAUUGGCAUAUGGUGAUGAGAAAAAAUAAAAAGAAAAAAGAGAGAGAGAGAGGGAAAGGUCAUUGUCAUGACCAUGACCAAUAAAAGUAAAAUAAUUCCUAUAAUAGAAUGAAAGGUAUAAAGUGCUAGGACAGUGGACAUCAAGGUCACUUGAUGUAAUCUGGAUGGAAAAGCACUUAUGAUGAAAACCAGGGAGAGAUAAUCCAAUCAGUUCCUCCAUCAUACAAAUUUACUUUUCAUCUUGUGAAGGCUAAAAUUAUAUUUCUGUUUUAUGGUAUCAGUGGUGUUGUAUAAAUAGCAGUAAUUCAUCUAUUCAUUUCCACAACGUUCUUGUAUCCUGUGAUAGAUGUGUCAAUAAUAGUAAGUUGAGCGAUGCUCAAGGCCCCUAAGGACGGAGUGUUGCACUUCAUUAAAUGUCUGUUGAGGUGAACUGAAGGUGUUGUGGGAAUACUUGUUAAUGUCCUUUUAAGGAGUGUUCAGAUUACUUUAUGAAUGAAUGCAGUCAUCUCAGUCAAAAGCUCAGGAAAAUUCACCAAGAAAAGGUGAUGCUUCAUAUAUAGAGUAAACUUACCUCACUAGUGAGGGAGGGUAGAAAAAGAACUUCUCCAAAGAAGUUCUCUUGACUUCUAUAAGAAAAUAACCUUAUACUGAAAUGGAGUGACCCAGGAGAUGGACACCUUAUGUCUAGGAGUUAUUUUGUGUUACCUACCUUUGGUUGUUUUUUCAGUAGAAAGAUAAAGAGUGAAUUGCUUGAAUAGUUUUAAAAAAUUAAAAAAAAUAAAAAUGAAAAAGCAAUUCUAUACUGAGGUAACAGCAAGGCAAUUAAGUGUAUAUGUGUUCUGGCUCAAGUAUAUCUGACAUUUUCUUCAUAGACCUUAAAUUAACAGAAGAUCUCGAAGAAUUGUAUUUUCAUCCUUCUGUCCAAUUCUUGUUUGACAGGGUAUGAUCCAGGCUCUUAAGAAGGCAGUGCUUGGAUAAGGGGAGAAUGUGUUCUUGGGAGUCUCCUAUUCUGGAAGUCUGGGUCUGUACUGUCUGAUAUCUGUUAUCCAGGGAAUCUUGCUCAUCCUGCUGCAAAUAAAAAGUAUUUCUCAUGUUAGCACUGUGUGCCUGUGCUCAGCCUGUUAAGAGGAGAUGGGAGGUGACUGGGAUAAGUUGGAAACAAGUGUAGGAAUAGAGGCAGUUCAACUCAAUUUAACAAGCACUUACUGCACACAGCUGGACACAAAGUGCAGUCUCUUCUGAGCAUUAUGGAGGAUCCAAAGAUUCAGCAUUCAAGUUUGUUGACCAUUAGAAGCUUUCGAUCUAAGAGGUAUUUAGUAUAGAUCCAGUUUUAAUUAUAAGAAUACAUGAUGAAUAAUAUGAGAAGUAAAAAGUACUGUAAAGGUGUAGGAAAUAAGAGAUAGCUUCUUGACAUUGGAUAUGAAAAUAUUAACCAUGUUCUCAUUCCCUCUUUCAAAGCUUUUUGUUUUCCCAAUUCAUGUUGGCUCAAGUCUAAGCUGUUUAGCACUGCACAUGACAUCCUCCAUGAACUGACCCUGCCUACAUUUUAGUUUUUAUACACCAGUAAUAGUAAACUUCUUGUGGUACUUUCUUCUUCCUUUUCUACCUAUCCCUUCCAGAACUCCACACAGCGCAGUGUUUAGCAUAUAGCCAAAGGUAAAAAAAAAUUGUUUUGAAUAAAUUAAUGAAUACUCAUGCCAUUCGGCUUCAUGUCUUCAUGUCCUUACAUAUGCUGUUCUCUUUAAGUGGAAUGUCUUUCUCCAUCUCAUUAAAAUUUCUGAACUCAUUCUGUGAGACUUAUCUGCUCUAACUUCUAAGCUUGCUCUCAAUGUUCCUCCUCUGUGUUGCCAUAGUUGCCAGAAUAUACCUCCCUCAUAGCACUUUAUGGUGAAAUAGUCCGUUUGUGUGUCUGUCUCCACACCAUAAAGUAACCUCUUUGAUGCAGAGGCUACUUCUUACCUGUCGUGCUACUCCGGGUAGCUAUGUCUGCAAGUGAACUAUAAUUAAGAGUAUAGAUUUUAGAAUUAGUUUGGGUUUAAUCCUGAUUCUUCCUCUUUCUAACUGUAUGAUCUUGGAUAAGUUACUUAGCCUCUCUGUACCUCAGUUUCCUCAUCUAUAAAGUGGGGGUACUAAUAGUAUCUUCCAGGUUGAAUUGUUGUAAGGAUUAAAGUAGUUACUAUGAAUGAAUGACUUGGAACAGUGGUACAAAAUGAGCACCGUAUUAAUGCAAAUCAGAACAUUUCCAGAAAUACUGACUAGAACAACUAUGGAACUGUAUGGAGAAAGGAGAGUCAAGUCUUUGUACAGGUGGAAACUUUUGAAAUGUAAGAAUAUGUUUUUGGUGAGUAGAGGUGACCUGUGGAGAGAAAGUCAUCACAGUAUAAAGUUAGAGUCAGGCAGAGUAUACCACUGGGACAUUUAGCUCCCUCCAUAUCCCCCGUGCCACACAUGCUGUCAACAGAGAGCCAAGUGUUAGAAUAUGUUUGGGAAAGGACUUCUCCUGCAAAUUUAAUUUAUUUGUUUCUUUGUUUCUUUCUCUUUUUACUAUCAAUGUCUCCUAUGGGAGCCAAUGAAAUGGUGAAAUAAGAAAUUGCAGGUUUGUAGUAUUGACUGAAAGUGGUAAAAACUGUAAGCUCUGUAAGUAGAUUCUUCACUAAUUGUAAGCUAGGCAUAUUUGAUAAUAAAUGCAACUAGGUCAAUAUUCAUAGAAGAAUGUUACAGAAUAGAAUAAAAUUUUGUAGGAUAUUUUGAAGAAGGCAAAAGAUACAGGUGUAGGUCACAAAAUAUAUGAAUUUUUUACAUCAAGUAAUAGCCCUGCAUUGUCUUCCAUUACAAAAUUGAUGACAUUAGGGGAAAAAAAACUCAUUCUGAAAACCUCAAUUUAGUGGAAUCACUGCUGUAUCCCUGGCACUGAUAUGAAUGCUUAUCUAAUGCCUUUCUUGUCUUGAGGGAGGAGCCACUUGAGAGGUAGAGGUAAAUUGACAGCAGGUGCACCUCAAGGGGUGUUUCCUGUUUAUGUGACCUCAGAUGGGGAAAAUAAGAAAUAAUGCCCUAGAGCGGCUUGGAGGGCACAGUGAGAAUUGCGGUGAGUUGAAAACAGCUUUUUACUCCAAGGGGUCGAACGGAGAAUGUGAUCCAAAUGAAGGUGCCAUUUAGGCUCUUUCCACAGUUUGAUAUUGUUGAAAGUGCUGCUAUAAACAUUGGGGUACAAGUGUCCCUAUGCAUCAGCACUCCUGUAUCCCUU